GAUGAACGCUGACAGAAUGCUUAACACAUGCAAGUCGAUGGGGAAGUGGUGCUUGCACCAUGGUAACCAUGGCGGACGGGUGAGUAACGCGUAAGGAACUUGCCUGCGGGACUGGGAUAACAGCAGGAAACUGCUGAUAAUACCGGAUAAGGUCAUUACGCUGCAUAGCUUAGUGAUGAAAGGAGACGCCUGCGGAGAGCCUUGCGUCCUAUUAGCUAGUUGGAGGGGUAACGGCCCACCAAGGCGAAGAUAGGUAGCCGGCCUGAGAGGGUGGACGGCCACAAGGGGACUGAGAUACGGCCCUUACUCCUACGGGAGGCAGCAGUGGGGAAUAUUGGACAAUGGGGGCAACCCUGAUCCAGCAAUUCUGUGUGCACGAAGACGGUUUUCGGAUUGUAAAGUGCUUUCAGCAGGGAAGAAGGAAGUGACGGUACCUGCAGAAGAAGCGACGGCUAAAUACGUG
rnacentral:rRNA from 1 species